rnacentral:lncRNA from 1 species
UAUGGAGAAUGUAAAAAAUCCACAUAAAUGUCAUUCAUGUUUGACUUGUUCUUACAUAAAAGAAUGAUAGAGGAACUAAAUACAGGAAUCUACAAGAUGUUGUAGGUUUUACCUAGUCAAAAUGUCUCUUAUUUCCAUCUCACCAAUGCAAGCUAAGGCUUGACUCUUUCACAGAUAAACUGUCAGAUCUUCAUGCUACAACUACAGAUGCACCGUAGAUGAAAACCAGACACUAAUGAGUAUGCUCUGGGAUUUUCAUCAGUUGUUUUAACUGUCCUUUACAGGUUUCCCAAGUAAAACUGUGGCUAGUGAAAUGAGAUACUGGAUCAAACCCUGAGUGCAGCACAGCCUGGUCCAAGGGAGCCAGAGAAAACUAACAUCUGAGAGUCUGAGCCUGAGGAUUUCAACAGGAUUAGCAAAGGCUGAUGAGGAAAAGGGAGGAGGAGAUGCAGAUGAAAGACUUCAACCCACUUGAACCCUCUUCUGAGGAAUCUCUACUGAAGGAACACAGAAGUACUCUCCAUCCUUCCUGGCCUUAGAAUACGUUGUAAGCUUUAAGAUCCAGCUCAGCUAAUCAAGUUCUCUUUUGAGACAUGGAAGAUGUGGAAGACACAAUAGAGCCAUCAAGCCAUACCAAGCUAGCUUGGUAUAAGAAGGAUGGUGAGCCCAAGGCUCCCAUCUACUUGGUCAUCUGUAACCACUAAGAUGCUAGUGGUUGCAGUUGUGUUCUGCUUGUGAUGAUUAGAUGAAGUCCUCCACCAUUUUCUCUUUGUUACUAAUGAGAAUUAUAAAGAUUAGGGAAAUAAAGAUAAAUAUACAUGCCUCA